rnacentral:lncRNA from 1 species
UUAUGUCCACUGAUGUUUGUCCUAAAGUUUCCAUAAUUCUGCUCCUGUGGCUCUUUCACAGUGUGGCACAAAGCAAGAAGGGGUUUUCUGGUCGCUGAGAGUUGUGUGCCUCAUCAAGGAGUUGCUUUGCUGGAUGAACAACCAGGCAAUUGCAAAAUCAAGAAUGAGGAUGAUCAGAGAAGAGUUUGUAUGAAUUUGAUGGCAAGUAGGAGUGGCUUCCUUUGGAACACACCUGCUGGUAGUCCUGGUGUCCCGCCCUUGGCCAGAUGGGAGGAGACCUGUUGCUGCCUGCCCAAGGGCAGGUGGAAAGCCAAGACAGGAGGGGAGUGGAAAUCGGG